rnacentral:tRNA from 1 species
GUGAAAGUAGCUUAAAGGGUAUAGUGACGUCUUGAUAAGGCGUAGGAUAGACGUUCGACUCGUCUCUUUCAUA